CCAAAUAUUCUCUCAAUUCUUUCAAAAACUAUCUCAUUUCUCUUCUUUCUCUCUAAAAUUUUCUCAAGCCUUUCUCACAAUGUUAUCUUGUCAUUUUAGAUAUUAUGAUUCAUGGUUUUCAUCUUCUUCUUUAAAAAAUGUAAGUUUUAGAUCUAUAGAUUUUAAAUGUGUAUUUUAUGUUAUUUAUUUCUAGCAAUAUUAUCUUUUUUUGUGGGUAUUGUCACUCAUGGAUUUCAUUUCUCCUCUAAAAAUGAGAGUGAGUGAGAAUAGUAUACCUUCGGAAGAGAUGAGCCUAUCGACAUGACCGAGCAAGAGACUAUCAGAAGGUGGUAGUAGUUUGAUUCUAGUAAAGCGGAGAGAGCCACCGUGAGGUACGUCAAGGAGAUGAGAAGAGCGACGUGGUGGCCAGGAUGAGACUUAAUCACCUCGCUAGCGGUUACUGUGCUGUAAACCCUCUCCAACUUGCCGUCUGGUCGUUGUGCCACCGUCGUGGCCGUCUCCACCGCCUGACAGUUCCCCAUUUCACGGCGGAGGAAAGUCAAGCGAGAAAGGAGUGAGAGUAAGCGUAGGUGAGGGGAGGGUUUAUAUAUAUAUAUGAUAAUAGUGAAGCCAUUGCUUAAUUGUUUAUGUUUCAAUGUUUUGGAUUGUCCGUAUGCAAGUGCUUGCAUUGCUGGAAUCUUUCACUCGGAAAGGUAAGAUCCUCGGUGACAUCAAGCCUUUGAAAAUAUGAAUCUAUUAACCAUUUUUUAUUAUUA